AUCAAAGGGUGGGGCUAAGAUAAUAAACUCAGCUGAAUAUUGCAUUUUUUAAGGUCACGUAUCUGUUCUAAAAAGGCGUUAAAAACAUGCGAUGACGUCACACACUGUAAUACUGUCAGAGGUACUGCUUUACGGCAGUUUCUAAAGCACUUCCCUUGUCCCGCAACGAUAACACCAGCUGUUGGAGUCGGACCUUGAUGCUGUGACAACGGACAAGUCUUCUUCCUCUGUCCUUUUCCCCUGCCUCUGUUCAGUAUGUUCAGUGUUGUUAAAUAAUUUCUCUUUUUUUUUAUUAGUUACUGUUCUUAUUGUGUUCUUGUUAGUGUGAUGUUUGAAUAAACUUGCCUGUUGCAA
ensembl:lncRNA